rnacentral:rRNA from 1 species
GAUGAACGCUGGCGGCGUGCUUAACACAUGCAAGUCGAACGAAGCACUUUAUUUGAUUUCCUUCAGGACUGAUUAUUUUGUGACUGAGUGGCGGACGGGUGAGUAACGCGUGGGUAACCUGCCUUGUACAGGGGGAUAACAGUUGGAAACGGCUGCUAAUACCGCAUAAGCGCACAGCAUCGCAUGAUGCAGUGUGAAAAACUCCGGUGGUAUAAGAUGGACCCGCGUUGGAUUAGCUAGUUGGUGAGGUAACGGCCCACCAAGGCGACGAUCCAUAGCCGACCUGAGAGGGUGACCGGCCACAUUGGGACUGAGACACGGCCCAAACUCCUACGGGAGGCAGCAGUGGGGAAUAUUGCACAAUGGGCGAAAGCCUGAUGCAGCGACGCCGCGUGAGCGAAGAAGUAUUUCGGUAUGUAAAGCUCUAUCAGCAGGGAAGAUAAUGACGGUACCUGACUAAGAAGCACCGGCUAAAUACGUG